CACGUAAUUAGCCGGAGCUUCCUCCCCAGGUACCGUCAUUUUCGUCCCUGGGGACAGUGGUUUACAAUCCAGAAGACCGUCUUCCCACACGCGGCGUCGCUGCAUCAGGGUUUCCCCCAUUGUGCAAUAUCCCCCACUGCUGCCUCCCGUAGGAGUCUGGGCCGUGUCUCAGUCCCAAUGUGGCCGUUCAACCUCUCAGUCCGGCUACCGAUCGUCGGCUUGGUGGGCCGUUACCUCACCAACUACCUAAUCGGACGCGAGCCCAUCUUCGAGCGAUAAAUCUUUGGUACAAACAGGAUGUCCCAUCCGUACGUUAUGCGGUAUUAGCGACCGUUUCCAGCCGUUAUUCCCCUCUCGAAGGCAGGUUGCUCACGUGUUACUCACCCGUCCGCCACUAAACUAUCCCAAAAUCCAUCCGAAAACUUCUUCCGAGAUAGUCCCGUUCGACUUGCAUGUGUUAGGCGCGCCGCCAGCGUUCGUCCUCGAGCCACGGAGUCAAACUACUA
rnacentral:rRNA from 1 species